GCUCCUGUGGCACAGUGGAUCAGUGUUUCAGGCUGUUAACCAGAAGGUUGAUGGUUCGAGCUCCCCCAGGGAUG